GCUGGACAGGGAUCUUGAAUAAUUGAGAGACACCAUGGUGUAAAACGAAGGUGGCUCCUUCGGAUGACAUUUUCCAGAGAACACUGAGAGAUGUUGACCAGGAACUUAGAGGUCAGCUGAUACGAGCACAAAAUGAAGCAAGGAGAGGGCCACUCUUCUCAACCUGAAAAGAAGAUGUAAUGGUACUUAAGCGUCUUUAUGCAGUGUAAGAAGUGACUGGUUUAUUCCAACUUGUCCUUUGUCAUGGAUGGACAGGGAGUUGUUAUAAGGCUGUCCAAGCAAGUGAAUGCCUGUAACAGGAAACUGAAGAAGAUUGUUACAGAGUACAAUAAUCUGCAGUGGCCUCCACAAACUGGCAUCUUUCCAUCACAUUUAGAAUUUUGAGAAUUGUGUGAUGCCUCCUCCCAGCUGUACACAUUGUUUGAUGAACAAAUUGAAGAUCAUGGUGUUGUUCCAAAGAACCUAAAAAGUCGAGCAAUAGAAGCCCUGCAUUUGAAGACUAGAGCAACUGAAGAAAAGCUUCUACUUAAGAGAGAGAUGAACACUGUCAUUCUUCACCUUCAUCAACAACAUGGACAUUUAAGUUCAGCUAUAAAUGAUACUGCAGAUCCUGGUUCAAAAGCUGUACUUCAUCAAAACAUUAUCAUGUUAGAAAAGAAAAUGUACAGUGCAAUGAACAUGUUCAAGAGGUUUAUCGAAGUUGGUGCCCCUCCUCCAAAUCAUCACCUACCAGAGUUUAACUCUUAUUCUCAAGCACUUAUGUCUCCAGAUCUACAUUACAUAGACUAUGAUGAAAGCAUUGACGAUGGAGAGGAUGAAGCGGAUGAUGACGACAAUGUUGACGAAGGAGAGAACAGCAUAGAUUGUGAAUCAUCUUCAUGAUUUAUGGCCACUUACUGUUCUAUGUGAAGAGCACAUAUUCCAGUAUAAAAAGUUCAUUGAUGAUUUUCAUAUAAGCUUUUUGUUCUAACAUCUCAGUUUAUUGUUUUUGAUAUUGUUGAGACAUAUCUGUUUUUUAAGUCAAGCUAUAUAUAAUCAAGGGCAUUUUAAUUUUACUCAUUACAGCUUUGUAGUCUUUUUCACAUUUAUUAAUGUUCUUGUUCAGUAUGACAUUGUUAAUGACUAAACUUUAUUUACAGUUUGAAUUUAACUCUUAAUCUUGAGAUGCUGCAUAAUCUGCUUUACAUAAUAUCUUUAAAUUUGAGCACAACAAUGAAAUAACUAAAACGUAGUGGACAAAAAUUUUGUGAUGUUCAUAUUUGAGAAAUAUUUGACUGUUAUCCAAGAAUUACAUUAUUUUGAAGGGCACUACUCUGUAUUAAAAAUUCAUUGAGCUAUGU